rnacentral:tRNA from 1 species
GGGGAUUUAGCUCAGUGGCAUAAGCGCCUGCCUUGCAAGCAGGAAGUCAUGAGUUCAGUCCCUG